rnacentral:misc_RNA from 1 species
UCGCGGCUUAUCACCGGCAGUCCCCUUAGAGUGCCCAACUGAAUGAUGGCAACUAAGGGCGAGGGUUGCGCUCGUUGAUGGACUUAACCAAACAUCUCACGACACGAGCUGACGACGGCCAUGCAUCACCUGUCACUUGGCUCAAUAAAGCACUCUCUACUUUCAUAGAAAUUCCAAGGAUGUCAAACCCUGGUAAGGUUCUUCGGUUAUCAUCGAAUUAAAGAACAUAAUCCACCGCUUGUGCGGCUCCCCGUCAAUUCCUUUAUGUUUUAGUCUUGCGACCGUACUCCACAGGCGGGAUACUUAACGCGUUAGCUUCGCUACUGAAGGGGUCGAUACCUCCAACAGCUAGUAUCCAUCGUUUACGGCGUGGACUAC